AUUGGAUCCUACACUUGAGUGGUUCUCUGUAAGACUGGAAAACAUUGUAGAUAUGUCAGAUUUCAAGUAACAAAAAGUGUAGAUAGAUAUCCUACCCAUUGGUGAAGAAUUCUUUAGUUUCAUGUAAAUUGUAACCAUUAGAUAGUGUGAUGAGAGAUAUAGAAGAAACAUCAGUAGCAGCAGAUAUUGCCAGGGGUUGUCUGUAUAUACAUGGAA
rnacentral:misc_RNA from 1 species